GGCCGGUUGGACUAUAGGAUAUAGGUUCGUGAGAGACGAGGUCUAUUUGACUUGUAAGCGAAAGUAUUUCGAUUGGGUUUUACGAUAACUCUAAAAAAGUUGGAGUUGGAUCGGAGUGUAUGGCUUCUAACUUCGCGGAGGGUCACGUUGGCAGCCGACAACAUAACAUCGGGAGUUAAUUAUGGAUAACACUUCCUUACUUUCGCAUGAUUUAGGUAUUGUUAUUUAAGCGGGGAUUCGGCAGUGUGUGUUUACUAACUUACGCUUUUGUGAUGUUGUAGUGACGAUGCCGAU
rnacentral:lncRNA from 1 species